UGCUCUUUAACAUAUUGGUCACAUUUCCAAAAGGUAGUAGAGUUACAGAGAUACAUAAAGCUGAAGUGGCAUGUGUGCUUUGUUUUGAGAAAUACUGGAGGACUUGAAAGAGGGCUACAAUCUUUAACCCAUGAAAUGCUAGAUGAGAAGUCUAAGGCAAUUCACUUAUUCCCAGCUCAGCACCCAAGAAUUAAAAAUAUACACCUUUAAGCUAUAAUAGUACAAACAUGAGUUUUCAAUGGGAAAAACAGCUGCAGACAAUGUAAGCCCACUGAAAAACUAACAAACUGUUGAACUGGAGUGAAUCUGCAUUGCUCCAUAAUAAUCAACAUGGAUUUAUCAAGGGUGGAUGAGUACAUAAUCAUAUCCAAAGCAACCAAUGACAUAAAUUCAAUAUUUAUUGGAUGGCAUGGUUGCCAAAAUCAAGGGUACAGACACAAGGAUAUUUUGAUAAUACUCCGCCAUUUCCCCGGUGUUCUAAAUGGUUCGCAGCUCUAGUUUCCCUUUGAAAAUGAGGUAGUUUGCAGGGUAAUUUGCUCCUAGUACUUUCUAGUAAGACAUGUCUUAAGACCCUUAGCAUGAGGUAGUGUGUAAUAUUCUCAUACAUAUGAGGUUUAAGGUGCUCAUUUACUAAAAAGGGAAUUGUAGUGAAUUGACAAGUGAUCUGGAAAAUUUAGAAAAGAAAAAAAGUUUGAAAAUGUUGGCCUUCAUUUUACGAUUUACUUGUCAAUUCGCCACAGUUUUAUUUGGAGAAUAAAUGCAUGGGUGGAGGUCAAUAAUACAGAAAAUAAAGGUGCUGAUGACAUACGUAUUUUCACCCAGAUUUCUUUUACACCAAUCUUAAAAAUAAUGAUUAACAACAAAGUUGUAUAAUGAGGUAACAAUGCCAUCAAAAAGCACUUGAAAUGUUAUGGCAUAUCAAAUUGACAAAGCACACAGUCAACUUAACAUAUUUCUCUAAGGUAGAAAAACAAAACAAAACAAGAAAUACAAUUAAAAAACACAAAUUUUCUGUUGAACAAAUAAAAAAAAUAUUGGUUUGACUUUAUGUAUAGGUAGUUGAAAUUGAAUGCCUUUACCAGUAAUGAGGUCAGAGUCAGAAUUAUCUUGCACUCCCCUUGUUGUUAAUGUGUUUGCUGAAUGUAAUCUCUCUACUCUGUAGCACAAGAGCAAAUUAUAGGCACAACUACAAGAUUACAUUUUCAAUGUAUACCUCCUGGCACAAAGCAUUCAAACUGUCGUUAAUAGAAAUUGUGUUGACAGACAUGGCCAACCAGCGUACCCGUAUUACUAUUAUUAAAAAAUGCUAAAUUGACCAGUCUGUCAAAAAUUUGAUGAGUGAGGAGCAGGGAUGCCCUCGAUUAAUGUAGGACACACCAACUCUGAGGAUAAAAUUGUGCAGUAGCUGGAGACCAGCCAGGGGUCCUCAGAGCUCAAUACUGACUUGGUAUGACAAUUUUGAUACAAUAAACCCAGACAGAUAUAUUGUAAUGAUAUUUCUCUAGAGUUAAUUAGAUGCAGUAGGAGGGGUUUAAUCCCCCUGACAAGACACAGCUAUAAAAGGUAUAACAAUGCAAAUUUAAACAAAAAGAGAAUAAGCAGUCAACAUCAAUACAAAUUCCCAACGUGAAGAUGUACAGAAAAGUUGCUGGGUGACACACAUAAUAUUUCUGUAGACUCUCCAGGCGUAUACCUUACAGUAUUAAAGUCACACAUAUUUAAAAAAGAAAUCAAGAACCUUGCAUAGGUUGCAAUGGCAUUUGCAAUGUUUCUGUAAUCAAUCAAAACCAAAAACUGUU
rnacentral:lncRNA from 1 species